GACGAACGCUGGCGGCGUGCUUAACACAUGCAAGUCGAACGGAAAGGCCCUGCUUUUGUGGGGUGCUCGAGUGGCGAACGGGUGAGUAACACGUGAGUAACCUGCCCUUGACUUUGGGAUAACUUCAGGAAACUGGGGCUAAUACCGGAUAGGAGCUCCUGCUGCAUGGUGGGGGUUGGAAAGUUUCGGCGGUUGGGGAUGGACUCGCGGCUUAUCAGCUUGUUGGUGGGGUAGUGGCUUACCAAGGCUUUGACGGGUAGCCGGCCUGAGAGGGUGACCGGCCACAUUGGGACUGAGAUACGGCCCAGACUCCUACGGGAGGCAGAAGUGGGGAAUAUUGCACAAUGGGCGGAAGCCUGAUGCAGCAGCGCCGCGUGCGGGAUGACGGCCUUCGGGUUGUAAACCGCUUUCGCCUGUGACGAAGCGUGAGUGACGGUAAUAGGUAAAGAAGCACCGGCUAACUACGUG
rnacentral:rRNA from 1 species